AAAGAAGGCCUAUCAGUAUCCUGAGUAGGGCGGGACACGUGAAAUCCCGUUUGAAUCCGCGAGGACCAUCUCGCAAGGCUAAAUACUAACCAGUGACCGAUAGUGAACCAGUACCGUGAGGGAAAGGUGAAAAGAACCCCGGGAGGGGAGUGAAAGAGAACCUGAAACCGUGUGCCUACAAGUAGUCAGAGCCCGUUAACGGGUAAUGGCGUGCCUUUUGUAGAAUGAACCGGCGAGUUGCGUUAGUCAGCAAGGUUAAGUCAGAAAAGACGGAGCCGUAGCGAAAGCGAGUCUGAAGAGGGCGA
rnacentral:rRNA from 1 species